AUACGUAGGGGGCGAGCGUUGUCCGGAAUUAUUGGGCGUAAGGGGUACGUAGGCGGUUUUUUAAGUCUGGUGUGAAAUUGGUGGGCUCAACCCACCCAAGCAUUGGAAACUGGAAAACUUGAGUCAUGGAGAGGAAAGUGGAAUUCCUAGUGUAGCGGUGGAAUGCGUAGAUAUUAGGAGGAACACCAGUGGAGAAGGCGGUCUGCUGGACGACAACUGACGCUGAGGCGCGAAAGCGUGGGGAGCAAACAGGAUUAGAUACCCUGGUAGUCCACGCUGUAAACGAUGAAUACUAGGUGUGGGGGGACUGACCCCCUCCGUGCCGCAGUGAACACAAUAAGUAUUCCACCUGGGGAGUGCGAUCGCAAGAUUGAAACUCAAAGGAAUUGACGGGG
rnacentral:rRNA from 1 species